UCAUCACAUCCCUGCUCUCAGCCGUCACAUACAGAGACAGAAAAAUGGAGGAGCUCAGGGGCAUCGCCCGGCCGACAGAUGCGGAGGUCUCGGCUCGGUGGCGCUCGGUGACCCGUGGCCCCAGCGCGCGAGCGGCAGGCGGCCCCGCGGCUUCGGAGAGCUCCGUGCCCCGGACGCGCACGGUGAGUCGAUGCGCCAGGCGGCGUCGCUCCUCGCCGACAACGACCCUCCGACGACGCCACGCCGCGCCGCCCCACCACUUUCCUCAACGUCGUCGCCCUCGGCAACAUCGUGACUAUCGGUCGCCCCCCCAACCCCACGAGACCCCUCGCGAUCUGCUCCUUCUGCUAUUGUGCUGCACUGCUGCUACUUGUGUGACCCGAUCUGAUCUGUUCCGAUCCGUUUGUCCGUGCAGGGCGCUGGCAAGUUGGGCGUGCUGAACAGCCUCAUCGGGCACCCGAUCCUGAUAUUCUUGGGUUCAUAUCUGAAUCCAAGAGAAUGUUGCAUGGCUUCAAAGCUCUGUGGAUGAUGCGCAGCCUGGAAUGAUUGUGUAGAUAAACUGCACCCUGAGCGACCCCUUCGAUUAUACGGAAGCGUGUAGGCCAGUCAACUGUGAACCCUGCUCCCAUGCGCACUGCAAGAUGUUCGACUAUGUUAUUGUGCUGAAGCUUUGGUAGAAUCUGAACUUCGUUUUUACGUAGCUCAUAUUGACUCAUACUUGGUGGUAGCUUUUGCUCUGAACUUGAAGUAACUGAAUGUUUUUUUAUUGUGACAUGAUUGCCAUGUAGUUGACCCUGAAGGAACCAAACAGACGUCCAAUGAUUAUAUAUAAUAAAGUGCCCAAAGGGACUUUUGUUCGAUUUGGUUCCAGACUCCUGACCAAAUUAAAGUUACCUUGUAUAAAGUGGCCAAAGGGCCUUGUUCAAUUUGAUUCUCAAGUGAGAAGUUAUUUGUGGCAUUGCUUAACUGAGAAAAACUCAGAUUCUGAAACCUACUGCAGCCAAAAGAAUUGAAACAUCAUCAGAACAUGUACAUCACCUAUAUACAUACUAGCCUCAGAGACAAUGAUACAGAGGGACAUACCUUUGGUCAUGGAUUUUAUUCAACAAUCUCUUUCUGUUUUUUUAAAAUAUAUUCUGAACAUUAGACUGUAGUCUUAGUGAUUACAAUGGGCAUAAACAGUCAUUUCUAUGCUCUAGAGGUUGUAUUUCUUCUAUCAAAAAAUUUAUUAUUUAAUAUUGCUCUUCUAAAAGUAAUUUUAUUUAAUUAAACUAUCAAUGCAGAUACAUAUUAUAAUAUUUCUAACAAAUGUAUAUUUUUUCGAAACAAAUAAAAACAUAUGUUGUGCUGCUUUAUGAAAUCCUCACAAUACUUUUACUGUUUUUUCUUCAGAUCCCUCAUUAAAGCUGAUAGAUUUAUCUGGGAUAGAUCAGCGAGCUGUUGAUGAUUCCAUGUAAUAUCCACAAUGAACUUUCAUCGGAGUGAAAGACAAGCUCUACGGAGAUGAUGGCGGCAAAGGACUUCAGCCCUAAAGCAUGUUGAAUGUUUGAUGUUGGAUGCUCGAUUAGUACAAUUUGUUAGAUGAUGGAUUUGUUGGACUCCUUUGUCAUGGUUUAUGUGAUAUAUAUGUGGAUUUGUGUGAUAUAUAUGUGGAUUUGUGUGAUAUAUAUGUGGAUUUGUGUGAUAUAUGUGAAUUCCAGUUAUAUAA